UACGUAGGGUGCGAGCGUUGUCCGGAAUUACUGGGCGUAAAGAGCUCGUAGGUGGUUUGUCGCGUUGUCCGUGAAAACUCACAACUCAAUUGUGGGCGUGCGGGCGAUACGGGCAGACUGGAGUACUGCAGGGGAGACUGGAAUUCCUGGUGUAGCGGUGGAAUGCGCAGAUAUCAGGAGGAACACCGAUGGCGAAGGCAGGUCUCUGGGCCACUACUGACGCUGAGGAGCGAAAGCGUGGGGAGCGAACAGG
rnacentral:rRNA from 1 species